rnacentral:rRNA from 1 species
GACGAACGCUGGCGGCGUGCUUAACACAUGCAAGUCGAACGGAAAGGCCCUGCUUUUGUGGGGUGCUCGAGUGGCGAACGGGUGAGUAACACGUGAGUAACCUGCCCUUGACUUUGGGAUAACUUCAGGAAACUGGGGCUAAUACCGGAUAGGAGCUCCUGCUGCAUGGUGGGGGUUGGAAAGUUUCGGCGGUUGGGGAUGGACUCGCGGCUUAUCAGCUUGUUGGUGGGGUAGUGGCUUACCAAGGCUUUGACGGGUAGCCGGCCUGAGAGGGUGAACGGCCACAUUGGGACUGAGAGACGGCGCAGACUGCUACGGGAGGCAGCAGUGGGGAAUAUUGCACAAUGGGCGGAAGCCUGAUGCAGCAACGCCGCGUGCGGGAUGACGGCCUUCGGGUUGUAAACCGCUUUCGCCUGUGACGAAGCGUGAGUGACGGUAAUGGGUAAAGAAGCACCGGCUAACUACGUG